CCUACGGGAGGCAGCAGUGGGGGAUAUUGCACAAUGGGGGGAACCCUGAUGCAGCGACGCCGCGUGGGUGAAGAAGCGCCUCGGCGCGUAAAGCCCUGUCAGCAGGGAAGAAAAUGACGGUACCUGAAGAAGAAGCCCCGGCUAACUACGUGCCAGCAGCCGCGGGAAUACGUAGGGGGCAAGCGUUAUCCGGAUUUCCUGGGUGUAAAGGGGGCGCAGACGGCGAAGCAAGCCAGGAGUGAAAGCCCGGGGCCCAACCCCGGGACUGCUCUUGGAACUGCGUGGCUGGAGUGCAGGAGGGGCAGGCGGAAUUCCUGGUGUAGCGGUGAAAUGCGUAGAUAUCAGGAGGAACACCGGUGGCGAAGGCGGCCUGCUGGACUGCAACUGACGUUGAGGCCCGAAAGCGUGGGGAGCAAACAGGAUUAGAUACCCCAGUAGUC
rnacentral:rRNA from 1 species